GACGAACGCUGGCGGCGCGCCUAACACAUGCAAGUCGAGCGAUGAAACCCUUCGGGGUGGAUUAGCGGCGGACGGGUGAGUAACACGUGGGUAACCUGCCUCAAAGAGGGGGAUAGCCUCCCGAAGGGGAGAUUAAUACCGCAUAAUAUCAUGUUUUCGCAUGAAGAUAUGAUUAAAGGAGUAAUCCGCUUUGAGAUGGACCCGCGGCGCAUUAGCUAGUUGGUGAGGUAACGGCUCACUAAGGCCACGAUGCGUAGCCGACCUGAGAGGGUGAUCGGCCACAUUGGAACUGAGACACGGUCCAGACUCCUACGGGAGGCAGCAGUGGGGAAUAUUGCACAAUGGGCGAAAGCCUGAUGCAGCAACGCCGCGUGAGUGAUGACGGCCUUCGGGUUGUAAAACUCUGUCUUUGGGGACGAUAAUGACGGUACCCAAGGAGGAAGCCACGGCUAACUACGUGCCAGCCGCCGCGGUAACAC
rnacentral:rRNA from 1 species